rnacentral:lncRNA from 1 species
GUCUUUUAAUGGUAGGGUUUUGGUUUUAAACAACCUUGUAGCAUCCCAAUUGUGGCACCGUCUGACCUGUGUAGACCCUCCCUCAGGCCUUUUAGCAAAACUACAGAAAGAAAUGGUGGACUUUUUUUUGGGAUGGUCUACACUGGGUGCCACAGGGGGUGCUGUUUUUAUCCAGAGAGGAGGGGGGACAGGGCCUUUUCCACCUGGCCAGCCGAACAGCCACUUUUAGACUUCACUUCACAAAAAUAUCUUACCGGCCCGGCUGAUUUGGUGUGGAGAGAUGUGACCAGCUGCAUUCUCAGACGUGUAAAUAACCUGGGGCUGGAUGCUGCUCUGUUUUUAACUGAUUCUAAUUUUUUUAAGUUAAAUGGGCUGCCUCCGUUUUAUCAGGGUGUUUUUAAGUCUUGGACCCUUUUUAAUGAUAAAAGGUGUCCAAUGUCGGACUCUCUGCACUGGUUGUUGAAGGAGCCUUUGAUUUGCAGAGCCAGGCUGGACGUCAGCAGCAGCAGCACACCCAGCCUGAUGGUGGCGCUCUGCAGGUCCAAAACCCUGUGCUUGCAGCAACUGGUGGAUGCAGUGGGGCCGGCGCUGAGUGAUGCCCGAGCCCUGGGCUUUCUGCUGGGUCUGACCUCCGCUCGAGUGGCCGAGAGGAUUCUGGAGCUGUGGAGCCAGAGGCUAUCUGGGAAGGAGAAGAGCCUAAUAAAAGACUACAGUGACGGGAAGGCUUCUCCAGACCCAGCAGACCCUUUUCCGGAGAUCAACCUGAGCCCAGGGCUGGGAGAACUGACCGGUCCCCUGCUCAAGGUCACUAACCCAGCAGGACUGACGCUGCACAGAGCCGACAAAAAGACUCUAUACACGAACUGUGUAAAAAGCAUCCACAAGAAAGGCCUGUGCAGCAGACCCUCCACUGUGUGGAGUAACAGACUGGGUGGAGGAAGUGGACCAAGCCCACAGUGGGGGUCUUUUUACAAACCUCCCCUCAAAAAGCGGACAGCCGACCUCCAGUGGAGGAUUUUACAUGGUGCCGUCGCUUGUAAC